UACGUAGGGUGCGAGCGUUAAUCGGAAUUACUGGGCGUAAAGCGUGCGCAGGCGGUUCGUUAAGUUCGUUGUGAAAGCCCCGGGCUCAACCUGGGAACUGCAAUGGAAACUGGCGGGCUUGAGUGUGGCAGAGGGGGGUGGAAUUCCGCGUGUAGCAGUGAAAUGCGUAGAGAUGCGGAGGAACACCGAUGGCGAAGGCAGCCCCUGGGCCAACACUGACGCUCAGGCACGAAAGCGUGGGGAGCAAACAGG
rnacentral:rRNA from 1 species